GAUACAGUAUGAAUGCAUAUAUAACAAGCAGUAAGUCGUCUAAUACUGUGACUGAAUAUGUGGUGCACAAUAACUAGUUCCACAGAUUAAGGCAUCGAUGGAGUUGACAGCUGGAGGCCCUGCAAAGGCCUGAGACUCAACUAGAUCGGGCGCUGCUCCAAGAGGCCGUGCGAGAUUCAGGCAAACGCCUCCGUUGCCAUGCGGUGAGAACGGAGAGGUUGAGAAGGAGUUUCUUCCCAGAGGCAAUUCGGACUGUAAACGCCUAUCUCACCAGGGACUAACUCUACUGAACGUUUUUCCUUCCAUUAUUUAUUAUGUAAAAGAAUAUGUGUGUUAUGAUUGUGUUUAUAAUUUGUUUGGUUGUUUUGUUGUUUGUCUUUUUGCACAAAAGUCCGCGAGCAUUGCCACUUUCAUUUCACUGCACAUCUCGUAUGUGUAUGUGACAAAUAAACUUGACUUGACUUGACUUGACUU